rnacentral:lncRNA from 1 species
GUGCUCAAUAGUGCAAAGAAAGUGAAGACUUUCAUCCUGAUCAAAUCAAAGCAGUGUUGCUGAAUGCUGAUUGUUGUCAUGGAAAACAAUACGUAGCCACCACUUUCAACUUUGAAGUUUGAACUCUAGUUGUUCUUCUUAUCCAAUUUCUAAGCUCUUUUUGUAUUCCUAUGUAAUCCAGCAAGAACAAAUAACUCACCCAAUUUUGUUUCUGAGGCAGGCUGUGGUCUGUCACAAAAAGGACGUAAAACCACUUCUUUUAUAGAGGUCAUUUUCAAAGUAGGAUUCUAUUUGAUUUAAUAAGGUUUUAUAAAAAAUUUCAUAAAUUCACGUACAAAAUAAAAAAUAGCCAUAUAUUGAAUUCCAGUACGUUUAGGAGUCUUCUGAUAUAUUUAGGAGUUUGUUUAGAAACAAAACUUUUCAUAUAUAUUUACUAUAGUUAUUCUUUAAUAAUAAAAUAUAAAAUAGUAUAAAAAUGGUAAAAACAUAAUUUUAUCUAUUGUAAAAACUUUUAAUGAAUGACAAAAAUUUUAAAUCACUUUUCUAAGGGUUUUCACAUUUGUAAUAUAUUAUAUUAUACGCUAUUAUAGUAUAUAUUAUAGAUGAUAGAUAUAGAUAGAUUAUAAAUUAUAAAUUAAUAAUUCUUUGAUAUGAGAAACAAAAGAAUAACUCACCUUUUUCUUCUUUGUUCAGUUAAGUAUAAAACCUCAUUAAUUGUAAACCCUUGAGGCAACUCCUUUGUAGCAUACGACUUGGUACAAUGCUGUGAUUUUCAAUAUGUGAGGUACUUGAGCCCUUAAAGUCAAAAGCAAUAAUAAAAUAAUAGUUAAUUAUGAAUCAUCAACUCGUAUAUUCAAUUGUUCAAUGAUAAACUACCACUUGAAACUAAUAACACAUAAUUUAUAAUGAAUAUAUAAUUUAAGAUGUUUAUAUCCAAUGCCAUCUUAGAAAAAAAAAAUCCAACAAAUAAAGUAAGCACUUUUUUUCUCCCAAUGGAUAUAACAAAAAAUCAUUAGAACCCAACAAAUGAAUUUUGGAAUUUUAAUGGUCUUUGAAAGCCAUAAAUGCAGCAACACCAAUGAAAAAUAAUUUAUAAAGAGAAGUUUGGAUCUUUGAUUUAUAAUAUUGUGAUAAAAAUACGGUCAAGUGUCCUUUUCUAAUUUUUUUUUUUUAUAUAUUUUAAGAGUUUACAUUAAUUCUCUUAAUACGUCUUUGCAUAUAUUUUAGAUUUUCUUCACGUUGGAAAUUCAUAAUUGGAAUUGCGCCUUACGUGCCAAGUCCAUAGACUUUCUAUAUAUGGAUGCAACUAAUAUUAAAUAUUUUUAAAAUAAUUAAAUAAUAGUUUAAUAAAAAUAAUGAAAAAAUAAUUUUAUCUAUUGCAGAGAUUUUUAAUAAAUAGCAAAAAGUUCAAAUCACUAAUCUAUAUCUAUAAUCUAUGAUUUAUAAUCUAUAUCUAUAUCUAUGAUAUAUUAAAAGUGUGAAGGACCUUAGAAAUAUUGUUUGAACUUUUUGCCCUUUAUUAAAAGUAUUUGUUUUAGACAAAAUCGUUUUUGCACUUUUUUUUUUAAUAUUUAAGAGUUAAAAAUUAAUAAAAUAUAUUUAUGAUAAAAUCUUUCUUUAUUUGAAUUCAAUUAAAUUUAGUCCUUAAACACUUCCUUAUUUGAAUUAUAUAUAUCAUAAAAGAACUUAUACAUUGAUUACAUCUUUAUUAAAUUCAAUUAAAUUAUUUAUAACAUUAGUAUUACAAAUUUGGUAGUUUUUUUUUUCUUUUUUAGUAGUAAAUGUUUCUCUUAGAAAAAAUAAAAAUUGUUAUAGCUUUUGAUUUUGUUUUUGUUUUUACAAGCUUUUGGUUGAUAUAUUGCGGUGAGUUUUGGACAAUUAAGUUGCUUGUGGAAAAAUAAAAGUUGGUAAGAGAUUAUAAUAUUUAACAUUUUUAAAUGAAUUAGAAUUUUAAUUUAUAUAAAAAAGAAAUUUGUACAAUUCUAUUUAUAACUUGAAACUUAUAGUGGUAAAAUAUAUGUGCUUACACUAAAAUAUAUGUUUAUGUUUAUAUUAUUACAUUAAAGUGUGAAGGAUCUUUGAAAAGUAAUUUAAACUUUUUACAGUUCAUUAAAUAUCUCUGCAAUAGAUAAAAUUAUUUAAUUUUAAAUAAUCAAACAUUACACGUGCAAGGCACGUGCAAUUAAACUAGUUUUCUAAAUGUUGUCACACUUAAAUAUAUAGUAGAUGUAGAUGAAAUAGCGGACUCUUUUUUGAAAAAAAUCAUAAGAAUGGUUCUUAAAUAUUUAGGAGGUUAGUAUAUUAUUCAAAUUAAAAUUUUAUAGAACUUUUUCCAUCAUCCUUUACAAAUCCUCACCUCAUAUUUACUUAAAAUGAUAAUUUAUUUGAGGUAAGUUUAAUUCCAUAAUUAAUUUUUGAUGAGACUUUUUCUUGUUGAAAAACUGUUUGAAUUGCAACAAUCACGUAACAGAAGUCCUUUAUGGACUUUCCAUGUAUGGUUAUUGAUCCAAUUCCAAUUUCAACGUGAGGUUCUUUAUGAAAUUAUCAAACUUCAUUAAUAAUAUAUUUUUAAAAAAAUAUUAAAUGAUGAUUUUGUAUAGUACGGUGACUUUUAAGAAGAACAAAAAAUUCAAAUCUUAAUAGUCUAAUUUUUCAUGUAUAUCACAACAAUAAAUAUAAAUUGUAUUCAAGAUAAAUAAUAAUACAACAACGACAACAUAUUUCUGGUAGACCCGAGGACUAAUCACCUAAUAAGAAAAAAAAUAGUUCAAGCUCAAUAAAAUGCAUAUAGAUUGUUUUCGGAGUGACAUGUGACGGAUUAAAGAAAGACACUUGAACAGAUAUCUCUAAGUCAAUAUGCAAUUCAAAGUAAAUAACCACACAUCAAAGCAAAAAGAUAGCGCACAUUACCCUCCUCAUAAUUAUACCCGAAAUAGUCGAGAUAUGUAAUUCACUCGUAUAGAAUGCAAUCAGAGUCCUACAAGAAUUGACUAUAUCUGGUAGCUUAUCUUCAUUGUGUGAGAAGCAGGAGCCCUCUUCUCAGUAUCAUUGAGGCAAAAGUGCAGAACAUUUACUAAUGGUUUCAGAACAUUUAUACGAGUGAAUGAAAAGUGCAGAACAUUUACAAUACGACAAUUAAAAGCUGAAAUUAAGAUUUAACAAACUGGUAAAACAACAGCUAUUCAACUAAUUUGUUGAAAAGAAAACUCAAACUAAGUUAGUAUUAGGUUGGAUUAGAUUUUGAAAAUUUACCAUCAAAUAUCAAAUUUUUAGCAUAUGUCCAUACUAUUUAUAAAUAUAAAGUAAUUAACUAUUCGAAUUUGUAACGGAAGACAACGGAGGAUUCGGUGAGAUUUUUUAAUUUGUCACUGUAUUCGUUUUUACCGUAUUAUGGAAUGCAAUUCAAUGAUUAGAAAAUUAAAAUUGUAACUCCAACGGUUUUGGAUACUUGGAAUUACAGGGUUGUCUAAACAUGAAAUUAUUAAGUCAUUAAAAAUGCUUAGACAAUUAUAAAAAAUAUAUGAAAGAGACGAACAUAACAGUAUAUCAAGGCUCAAUAAAAACCAAACAAGACAAUUUACAACAAAAAUUUGACUAUUACUUGAUGUAAUUACCUUAUACCAAAUCUUGCGCACUUUUUUGAAGAGAUUUAAUUUUAGUAAUUCUCAACAAUACUCUUUCUGAUCGUGCCUGCAACAGAAAGAAUUAAUUUAGUAUAAGAGUAAAAAGGUAAGCAAGAUAUCAAUAACUCGUAAUGUAUUCUCUAUUAAGGCAAUGGAAUCUUACAUAUAGUAAAAUCAAAAGCACGAUGAUAAAAGAGGUCUUUAAAAGUAAAUUGUUGAUGAUAUAUAAAACAACAAUAAAAUUCAUAUAGAAAAAGAAUAGAAGAACC